AAUAUUGGACAAUGGGGGCAACCCUGAUCCAGCCAUGCCGCGUGUGUGAAUAAGUUCUUCGGCUUGUAAAGCACUUUAAGUUGGGAGGAAGGGCUUUAGGUUAUUACCCUGCAGUUAUGACUUUACCAACAGCAUAAGAACCGGCUACCUCUGCUCCAGCAGCCGCUGUAAUACAGAGGGUCCAAGCGUUAACCGGAAUUACUGGGCGUAAAGCGCGCGUAGGUGGUUCAGUAAGAUGGGUGUGAAAACACCGGGCUUAACCUGGGAACUGCUUUCAUAACUGCUGAGCUAGAGUACGGUAGAGGGUAGUGGAAUUUCCUGUGUAGCGGUGAAAUGCGUAGAUAUAGGAAGGAACACCAGUGGCGAAGGCGACUACCUGGACUGAUACUGACACUGAGGUGCGAAAGCGUGGGGAGCAAAC
rnacentral:rRNA from 1 species